rnacentral:rRNA from 1 species
UACGUAGGGUGCAAGCGUUAUCCGGAAUCACUGGGCGUAAAGCGUGCGUAGGUGGCGCAUUAAGUGGGAUGUUAAAUCGUGUGGCUCAACCAUAUCGAUGCAUCUCAUACUGGUGUGCUAGAGGACGGCAGAGGCAAGUGGAAUUGGUAGUGUAGCAGUGAAAUGCGUAGAUAUCAGGAGGAACACCUGUGGCGAAAGCGGCGCACUGGACCACAACUGACGCUGAGGCGCGAAAGCUAGGGGAGCAAACAGGAUUAGAUACCCUGAUCA